rnacentral:misc_RNA from 1 species
CUAACACAUAGUUCAUGAAAGUACGUGUGUGGUCUGUACUAAGCCCUGAAAAACAAAUAUCAACUGCUACACACGCUUCCAUGAACUAUGUGUUAGUGUUAUCAUUUCCUUCUUUGCUCUCCUUUCACUGCCCAUUAAUAAAUUAACCAUCCAGGGGAAAAGGUACAAGGAAAUGGAGUGUUGUUAUUCCUUCAAACUAUCAUCUCUAUACCCUUCUUCUUUUCUUCUUAACCUUCAGGGUUCUUCAUCAUCUGUUGGUGGCAAAUUAUCCCGAAAUUCUAUGCAUCCUCGCUUGCUGUCCUCUCCACUUCCUAAACCAUUUCUUCAGAUUGAUGAUAGACUGCAGUGUCAACAAAAGUCAGCUUCUUUCACUUUGAAAACAUAUAGAGGACCCAUAUUAGCAGAAACUGGAAGGCAAGGUUGGGACUUUGGCAGGUUUUUUAAAACAUUAUAUUUCUUCAAUGGACCUCCAUCCCCUGCUAAGGUUUGACAUAGUUUUGGUUGGAAUUUUUAUCUCAUCAUAUCAGCUAAUCUUUUAAAUUUUCAACUGGAACUUACUAUCUGUUAAGUUCUUUGAGUUUCUAGUUGAAAAACUAUCCAGUCAAUCAUCUAGUGAGCCAAAAAGCGUGAUGGACAGUCCUGGCAUUGUCCUGGUAGUUGGAGCUACUGGUGGUUUUGGCAAAAGAGUAGUUGACAUCUUAAAGAAGAAAGGACAGCAAGUCCGAGUACUUGCAUGUGCUCUUGCCGAAAAAUUUAUAUGUAGAAAGGAGAAGAGUCUGCUCACUUUUUCUUCCUCUUAUUUUUGUUUCAUAUCAAAAAUUUCUCAGGUCAGAAAUGAAGAGAAGGCAAGAAUGAUGUUGGGCUCAGAUAUUGACUUGGUGAGCUGGCAGCCGUUGUAAAUUAGCAUGGUGAUGAAUUCAAUGCUUGCAAUUAUUACAUGUUACUUUUCAGUUUUGUAGUUGAUAAAGCUUGCAGUCUUAUCCAUCUUAUUGCUUUAGAAUAUGGUCUUUGGCUAUGUGCUUAAUGGUCUGAAAGGAUAUGAAGCGCGAGUUUAGACGUGUUGUUUUCAAACAAUUUUAUGUUAUCUGAGGUGGCAAUCUGAAUCUGAUAAAAGAUGAAAUUACUGAUGCUCAACCUUCGGGUGAAACUGAAAUUUGAGUAUCAGGCAAAGCAUGUAAACAUCUGCAAAGGUGUAGCUUAUUUGCUUUUUCUUGUAUUUUCUUUUAAGGAAAUAGUCACUUGGAUUAAGCAUUUGGUGGCAGCAGCAUCAAAUCACGAAUUUAUAAAAUUUUCUGCAUUAUGUUUAUUGGAUAAAUGUUCAUUUCAUGUCGAAGACAUUGUGGAUAGGAUAUUUCUUUUUCUCUUGUAGUGGUGGAAGAUGAUUGGUUCAUUAAUUUGGCUUACUUCAUGUCAAAAUUUUUCCACCAUAUAAUUGCAAAAUCUAAUCCUGUUUCAGUUUCAUGCUUCUAACUGGUCACUUCUCUUUCCUUUUGCACUUAUCAGAUAGUUGAAGAUAUCACUAAGGAAGACACAUUGGUCCCUGAGUACUUCAAAGGGGUGAAGAAAGUUAUUAAUGCUGCUUCUGUUAUUGUUGGUCCCAAGGAAGGUGAUACUCCAGAAAGGGCGAAAUACAGCCAAGUAUGGUUGCAAACAUCAUUUACAUGAAUGUUCAUAGUUGUGUGCUUGUCAUCAUAGAACUGGGCUAUCAUCAUGAAUAUCUACCAAAAUUUACAUUUUCCAAUUUUGGUGUCCCUUUGUCACCAUUUUAAGUUUUUAUUUCUUUCUACAUUAGUUGCCUAACUUUCAAUUACUAUGUGCAGGGAAUCAAAUUCUUUGAACCAGAGGUACAGAAAUGAUUGUCUAUCUUGUCUUUUUCAUUAAAUUUAUCCUUCCUGUGAAGUUCAUUUCAGAAAUUCUUUGCUUUUCCCUUUUUCGUUGGAAGCAUCAAAUAUUUGGUUGUUGAUAAAUGUGAAGCUUUGUUUGAUUGAUGAAAGCAGAUCAAAGGGGACUCACCUGAAAUGGUGGAGUAUGUUGGGAUGAAGAAUCUGCUUAAUGCUGUAAAGGGAAAUGUUGGACUUCGAAGUGGUAAACUGUUAUUUGGAUGUGAAGGUACUAUCCAUAAUUGCAUUAGUUAGUAUUUUAUACUUGCAUGCUUAUGAUUAUAUAAACACCAAAAGAAUGAGUGCUCAGAAAAUUAUUUUAGUGGAACAGUUAUCUAACAAUUUAUUUGAUUUAUUCAUAAUGACUUGGCAUGAUCCUCAGCACUCAACUGAAUAACUUGAAAAGUUGUUUUUUUUAUUGGCAGCCAAUAGAUUUUGUUCUAUUUUUCCCCCUAUUCACUAAUCACUAAGCAUUGUGAUGCUCUGAAUCUGUGUAAAGAAAGACAGAUGUUCUUUGUCCAUUUUUAUCUUUACUGAAAUGCAAUAUAACAUGUUGUAAGCAUCAAUGCUCUCCAUUCUUUCUCGAACUUGCAUUUUUCAGACAAUAGUUUUAAAGAUCUACCUUGGGGCGCUUUAGAUGAUGUUGUAAUGGGAGGUGUUAGUGAAAGUAAUUUUCAAAUUGACACAACUGGGGGAGAAAAUGGUGGACCAACUGGGAUUUUCAAAGGUGUCGUUUCCACUGCAAAUAAUGGUGGCUUCACUAGUAUCAGAACUAGGAAUUUUUCAACACCGGAGAACCUUUCUGCGUAUGAUGGUUUGGAACUGCGCCUUAAAGGUGAUGGUCGUAGGUACAAACUCAUUGUUCGUACCAGCCGUGACUGGGACACUGUUGGUUAUACCGCAAGCUUUGACACUGUAGAAGGAUGGCAAUCAAUACGCCUGCCAUUUUCUUCUUUGAGGCCAAUUUUUUGAGCUCGGACUGUAUCAGAUGCUCCUCCAUUUGAUCAAAGCAAUAUUGUCUCAUUGCAGCUUAUGUUCAGCAAGUUUGAGUAUGAUGGGAAACUGAAUCCAACUUUUUUGGAGGGUCCAUUUGAGCUUCCCUUAUCAAGUAUAAGGGCCUUCACAAAUGAUCCUAUAACUCCCAAGUUUAACAUUUGUUUUGUUUGUUUCUUUUUUAAUGUCUUGAAUUUAGUGAUCUGCUGAAAUUUUUUAAUUUGGGUUUUGUCCAUCGUACGUUUGUACAUGUGAGCUCUGCAGGAGUAACUAGACCAGAAAGGCCUGGCCUCAAUUCCAGUAAACAACCUCCUGCUGUAUGCUUGAACAAGGAAUUGGGUUUUAUCCUAACUUUUAGGUUGAAUGUUGGUUGUUAUCUAUGUAUAAGCUGUUUGUGUCAGUGUAAAUUCCGUUACCUCAACGAAGCCUAGUAGUUUAAUAAUAUAUUAUUUGGAACUCAUUGCUGCUUAUGAAGUUGCGGGACUUCUGAAUCUGACUUGUUCACUGAACCACAUAUUGUUAAUACAUGGUUCAUGAGGUCAAACCAUGAACUCAAUUGAUGGAUUUGUAAAAAGAAGGGCAGAAGGUUGAAGUUUAAUGGAAAAGAUGGAAAGAAGAUUCUAAAUAUUUGAUAUGUUAGCUUUUGAAGAAAAGACUAAUAGGAAUAUGAACUCUUAAAUUUACAGGGACUGCAUAAAAAAUGGAAAAAAUAAAGACAUCUUGGAACUCAAAGUAAAGAGAGAGGAAUACCAAUAACAUGUUAUGUGCACAUGCAGAAUACAAACUCACAUGGAGAUCAUGAUCUAGCUGAUUGCUGUUUUCCGACAAUAUUUGGUUGGAUGAAUUUAUUCAGUUCUUUGUUGGCUAUUGACAUCCCGUUGCUGCUGAAUUUAUGUGUGCUUAUGUAUGGUGAGGGAUGGCUAUGAAUGAUCCAAAUUCAGGCUGACUGAGCUAAUAGACUAGGAAGUAGGAAAGUGAUUUUGCAUCUAUCAUCAACACCUCAGGCCACAGCAAGUCCAGCGAAAAUAAUUUCCCUCUUUAUUUCAACCAUCUGGCUAGAAUUUGAAACUUCAGUGUUUGGAACUAUCUCAAAUUUUUUUGGAAACUUAUUAGCUUUAGCCUUUAUGACAGGGAGAAGACUUGAUACGUGAAAGUGGCAUGCCAUAUGCAAUUGUAAGGCCUUGUGUAUUAACUGAGGAGCCUGCUGGUGCAGAUCUCAUUUUUGACCAAGGAGACAAUAUAACGGUGGUUCAGCUGAAUAUUCUUUGUUGGCUGGGAGGGAGUUGCACUCUGAAAUUCAUUGAGGACAAGUGAUUGGUGUUGCUUCUGUUAUCUUUAACCAUUUUUGUGAGUAAAAUAUCAAGGGAAGAGGUUGCUCGGAUUUGUGUUGCUGCUAUGGAAAGCCUGUAUGCAUAGCACAAGACAUUUGAGGUUAAAAGUGUGAUUCCUUUCAGUGAACCAUUUAUAGUGGUUACAGGGAAUAUUUUAAAACUUUGAAAAAUGGUAUUACAGGGAAAGAAUACCUAAAACGAAGUCCUGUUCCAGUCUAAUUCCCAUAGACAAAAGAUCAUACCCCUACAAUUACAAAAUGAUGAAGCAGAGGUUUCUUGGGAAUCAUUGGGCGGGCUAGCAAGAAAAGAGAUACCAAGAAAGUUGAAACAAUUAGGGAUUAAUGUUGGAGUGUGUGUGUAGAAAAAUCUUGUCUUCAUAAACUAUUCAGGAAAAUAACCACACAAAAGCACAUCUUUCGUAUAUUCCAAGCUGUAUAUAAACCAAAUUUCUUGUCUCAUUUCAUCUGAUAAUUUGAAAUCGUGAAUAUAUCAUCUCAAUUCCAUGAAUUACAUUGAUUUCUGUGCAUUAGAAUGAAAGAGAGAAGAAGAGAAUUUUUCAGAUAUUGAAUUAGAAAUGACGAGGCAUGGAAAUCGCGAAUUAUAUUGAUGAGAGAACAGGUGCUUCAGAUGAUUCAGGACCAGCCUCAUGCUUUGUAUGUAUUCUUGUCUAGACGGCCAAUGUUAAUUACUUUUCCUAUGUACAAUGCUGUGUUCUGUGAGCAUAUAUUUUGGAAGAAAAUGGAUG